UACGGAGGAUGCGAGCGUUAUCCGGAUUUAUUGGGUCUAAAGGGUGCGUAGGCGGGCGUUUAAGUCAGCGGUGAAAUGCCAGGUCUCAACCUUGGAGCUGCCGUUGAAACUGGGCGCCUUGAGUGUUGACGAGGCAGGCGGAAUGCGCCGUGUAGCGGUGAAAUGCUUAGAUAUGGCGCAGAACCCCGAUUGCGAAGGCAGCCUGCCAGGCACCGACUGACGCUGAUGCACGAAAGCGUGGGUAUCAAAC
rnacentral:rRNA from 1 species